GUAACUGCGAGUGAAGCGGGAAAAGCUCAAAUUUAAAAUCUGGCGGUCUUUGGCYGUCCGAGUUGUAGUCUGGAGAAGUGCUUUCCGCGCUGGACCGUGUAUAAGUCUCUUGGAACAGAGCGUCAUAGAGGGUGAGAAUCCCGUCUUUGACACGGACUACCAGUGCUUUGUGAUGCGCUCUCAAAGAGUCGAGUUGUUUGGGAAUGCAGCUCAAAAUGGGUGGUGAAUUCCAUCUAAAGCUAAAUAUUGGCGAGAGACCGAUAGCGAACAAGUACCGUGAGGGAAAGAUGAAAAGCACUUUGGAAAGAGAGUUAAACAGUACGUGAAAUUGCUGAAAGGGAAACGCUUGAAGUCAGUCGCGUUGUCCGGAACUCAGCCUUGCUUUUGCUUGGUGCACUUUCCGGAUGACGGGUCAGCAUCGAUUUUGACCGUCGGAAAAGGGCUGGAGUAAUGUGGCACCUCCGGGUGUGUUAUAGACUCUGGUCGCAUACGGCGGUUGGGAUCGAGGAACGCAGCGCGCCGCAAGGCAGGGGUUCGCCCACUUUCGCGCUUAGGAUGCUGGCAUAAUGGCUUUAAACGACCCGUCUUGAAACACGGACCAAGGAGUCUAACAUACCUGCGAGUGUUUGGGUGGAAAACCCGAGCGCGUAAUGAAAGUGAAAGUUGAGACUCCUGUCGUGGGAGGCAUCGACGCCCGGACCUGACGUUCUCUGACGGAUCCGCGGUAGAGCAUGUAUGUUGGGACCCGAAAGAUGGUGAACUAUGCCUGAAUAGGGUGAAGCCAGAGGAAACUCUGGUGAGGCUCGUAGCGAUUCUGACGUGCAAAUCGAUCGUCAAAUUUGGGGAUAGGGGCGAAAGACUAAUCGAACCAUCUAGUAGCUGGUUCCUGC
rnacentral:rRNA from 1 species